AGCGCAGGUGGUUGUAUAAGUCUGAAGUAAAAGGCAGUGGCUCAACCAUUGUGUGCUUUGGAAACUGUACAACUUGAGUGCAGAAGGGGAGAGUGGAAUUCCAUGUGUAGCGGUGAAAUGCGUGGAUAUAUGGAGGAACACCGGUGGCGAAGGCGGCUUACUGGACUGUAACUGACGUUGAGGCUCGAAAGUGUGGGUAGCAAACA
rnacentral:rRNA from 1 species